rnacentral:rRNA from 1 species
GUAGGUGGCAAGCGUUGUCCGGGAAUUAUUGGGGCGUAAAGCGCGCGCAGGCUGUUCUUUAAGUCUGAUGUGAAAGCCCACGGGCUCAACCGUGGAGGGUCAUUGGAAACUGGAGAACUUGAGUACAGAAGAGGAAAGCGGAAUUCCACGUGUAGCGGUGAAAUGCGUAGAGAUGUGGAGGAACACCAGUGGCGAAGGCGGCUUUCUGGUCUGUAACUGACGCUGAGGCGCGAAAGCGUGGGGAGCAAACAGGAUUAGAUACCCUGGUAGUCCACGCCGUAAACGAUGAGUGCUAAGUGUUAGGGGGUUUCCGCCCCUUAGUGCUGCAGCUAACGCAUUAAGCACUCCGCCUGGGGAGUACGGCCGCAAAGGCUG